GACGAACGCUGGCGGCGCGCUUAACACAUGCAAGUCGAGCGAGAACCGGGACUUCGGUCCCGGGGACAGCGGCGAACGGGUGAGUAACACGUGGGUAAUCAACCCUCGGCACCGGGAUAGCCCGAGGAAACUCGGAUUAAUACCGGAUAGCCCCUCCGACUCUCGAGUCGGUCGGGAAAGGUAGCUUAGGCCUCUGGCCGGGGACGAGCCCGCGGCGGAUUAGCUUGUUGGUGGGGUAAUGGCCUACCAAGGCAACGAUCCGAGCUGGUCUGAGAGGACGAUCAGCCACACUGGGACUGAGACACGGCCCAGACUCUUACGGGAGGCAGCAGUGGGGAAUCUUGCGCAAUGGGCGAAAGCCUGACGCAGCGACGCCGCGUGAGGGAAGAAGGCC
rnacentral:rRNA from 1 species